GAUGAACGCUGGCGGCGUGCCUAAUACAUGCAAGUCGAGCGAACGGACGAGAAGCUUGCUUCUCUGAUGUUAGCGGCGGACGGGUGAGUAACACGUGGAUAACCUACCUAUAAGACUGGGAUAACUUCGGGAAACCGGCGCUAAUACCGGAUAAUAUUUUGAACCGCAUGGUUCAAAAGUGAAAGACGGUCUUGCUGUCACUUCUAGAUGGAUCCGCGCUGCAUUAGCUAGUUGGUAAGGUAACGGCUUACCAAGGCAACGAUGCAUAGCCGACCUGAGAGGGUGAUCGGCCACACUGGAACUGAGACACGGUCCAGACUCCUACGGGAGGCAGCAGUAGGGAAUCUUCCGCAAUGGGCGAAAGCCUGACGGAGCAACGCCGCGUGAGUGAUGAAGGUCUUCGGAUCGUAAAACUCUGUUAUUAGGGAAGAACAUAUGUGUAAGUAACUGUGCACAUCUUGACGGUACCUAAUCAGAAAGCCACGGCUAACUACGUG
rnacentral:rRNA from 1 species